rnacentral:rRNA from 1 species
CCUACGGGUGGCAGCAGUGAGGAAUAUUGGUCAAUGGCCGUAAGGCUGAACCAGCAAAGUCGCGUGAAGGAAGAAGGAUCUAUGGUUUGUAAACUUCUUUUAUCGGGGAAUAAAGGUAUCCACGUGUGGAUAUUUGCAUGUACCCUAUGAAUAAGCAUCGGCUAACUCCGUGCCAGCAGCCGCGGUAAUUCGGAGGAUGCGAGCGUUAUCCGGAUUUAUUGGGGUUAAAGGGUGCGUAGGUUUUUUUUUAAGUCAGCGGUGAAAGUUUGUGGCUCAACCAUAAAAUUGCCGUUGAAAAUGGAAGACUUGAGUGUGUUUGAGGUAGGAGGAAUGCGUGGUGUAGCGG